AACUAUUUUCUUCAGUACGAAAGGACCAAGAAAAUAGGACCAAUGCUCACGGCAAGUCCUCAUUACCCAUUGAAGCAAUAUCAAACCCAUAGUACCAAUCCACCCUAAAACAGGGAC
rnacentral:rRNA from 1 species